CUACGGGUGGCUGCAGUUAGGAAUAUUUUACAAUGCACGCAAGUGUGAUAAAUUGAGUUGGAGUGCUUUCCAUUGGAAAGCUUUUGCCAAAUGUAAAUAGUUUGGCGAAUAAGGACUGGGUAAGACGAGUGCCAGCCGCCGCGGUAAUACUCGCGGUCCAAGUCGCAGCCAUUUUUAUUGGGUCUAAAACAUCCGUAGCUUGCUUAACAAGUUCUCUGUGAAAUCCUGUUCCUCAAGUUCAGGGCGAGCAAAGAAUACUAUUAAGCUAGAGACUGGAAGACGGAAGGAGUACGUUUGAAGUAGCGGUAAAAUGUGUUAAUCUCAAACGGACUAACAAUAGCGAAGGCACCUUUCGAGGACAGUUCUGACAGUAAGGGAUGAAGGCUAGGGGCGCAAAACGGAUUAGAUACCCCAGUAGUC
rnacentral:rRNA from 1 species